GUAAUGAAGAAAAUAGUCAUGGACAACUAAUACAAACAAACAACUAAAAACUUGCGGACAUCAGUUGUAAACCUUCAGCUAGAGCUAAAGAAAAAGAGAGUGAAAAUAAACAAAACAAGUACUAACAGAAGUAUACUUGCAAACCUAUUACUCAACGACUAAAAUUGUUCAUAAAUAUAUUAUCAGCUUCUAAUAUUUUGGAUACAUGGUACAAUGAAUUCAGGCAGCAACCCCAUCACAGUAGAAAUAUUUACAGUUAUUCUGCAUGCAUACCACAAAUCACUCGUUAUGCAGAACUAGUUUACACAGCUUAGUGAGACCAGAAACAGAACGAAGAAAGCAGCAAAUCAUCCAUAAUUAAACCAGUAGAAAGGUCUACGGCACGUCAACAUCAUGGCAUUGUCUAAGUUAUGUAUCAACUUUUAUAACAUGAGAUACCAUGUAGGAUGUAUUAGGGGUGAAGUUUCUCCCAGAGAAAAGAAUAAAGAAAAGGAAAAACUUGUUCUUUUUGCAAAAUUUCCUACGCAAAUAAAGCUAGACCUAUUUUAACUUCUUCAUUGCUAAAUUGGUAUGAAAUACAUAGAAUGUGGACAGCCUCUUAGCAAACGGAUAAAUAAGACUUUACAGUUUACCCUAUAACUCGGGCAUACCAACCAUUGCAGACCUCCUAUACGCAGCAGCACUCCCUUCAUAAUCUCUGAGUUGAUAUUUGAUUUCUCCCAGCAA